UACGUAGGGGGCAAGCGUUGUCCGGAUUUAUUGGGCGUAAAGCGCUCGCAGGUGGUUCAUUGCGUCGUGCGUGAAAGACCCCGGCUCAACUGGGGAGGGUCGUGCGAAACGGGUGAACUAGAGGCCAGUAGGGGGAUGCGGAAUUCCGGGUGUAGUGGUGGAAUGCGUAGAGAUCCGGAGGAACACCAGCGGCGAAGGCGACUUCCUGGCCUGUUCUUGACGCUGAGGCGCGAAAGCUAGGGGAGCAAACAGG
rnacentral:rRNA from 1 species